rnacentral:other from 1 species
GCUCACCUGCGAUGUUGGUGAUGACGUGACGAACACUGCGGGCCAACACUCUCUCAAAUCGGGAAUCCGCGUAAGGUGAUCAGGUGAUAGGCUUGCGUAGCCAAGACCAAACCACUUUUCAGGACUCCCACCUGCAUAGCAGGUCUCACAGGUUAACGUCACACGGCAUGGCAGGUCGCA